rnacentral:rRNA from 1 species
UGGUGGAGUGAUUUGUCUGGUUAAUUCCGUUAACGAACGAGACCUCGACCUGCUAAAUAGUUUUGCGAAUUCUCCGGGAUUCGUUUACAACUUCUUAGAGGGACUAUUGGUGAUUUAGCCGAUGGAAGUUCGAGGCAAUAACA